AUUCACAUGCGUUUCAUUCACUUUUCACAUUUUCAGCGUUUUCAACUUUUCUCCGUAGAGACUGCACGCCGCCGAAUCCGAAACAUACACACACACCGACACACGCACCCCACGAAAGUAUACACGGAUAUAUGGGUUCGGGACCAGGCAUCGCAUCAGCGGAAUAUCGAGCAGAUACUCUCCUCCGUACGUAAGACGCGUACACACGGCGGACACAGUGGUUGCAGGUCAAUUUGUAUUGAAAACACAGUGACAGCUGUCAAGAACAAUUAUCAUAUCGUUGGAUUAAUUAAUGACCUCACACCUUAAGCACUAAAAAAAUGGCCAAUUAUCGCGUCACGUUGAGUCAUCUCUGCAUUCUAUAUGGAUAGCAUUUGUAAACAAACAAAACAUUAAUCAAUUGAGGUAAUUGAAUCCAAGUGCAGCCCACUGUGCCUGCGUAAGAUAGGACAACGUUGGUCGAAAGAAUAAGGAACUAGGGAUGGUUUCCACAGAUUUUCCACGUGACUUUCCUAAUUAAUUACAUAUCUAGAUACUAAUUCAAUAGUUUUUAAAAUUUUUGCAAGCUCCUAAUAUGCAUAGGAAUUCUACAAAUUGUUUUAAUUCAAUUUAGGGAAGGAAUUCAGCAUGAUUAAACGUAAAUACAGGUAGUAAACCAUAUAGAAAAAGUUUAUAGGCAAAUUGGAUGUUAAUUUGAUAAAUAGCUGCGAUAACCAUUUAGACAAACAUCAUUUUCUAAAGAUACUGGGGUGAGUAAUCCAUGGGAUAGAUGCUACAAAUUAAAUUGGCGCUGCUACUAGCUUGACCGCUGCUGCAUCGAUGCCGUUGGGGCGGUGUUUUGUACUAUUUCGCCGUUUUUACGUGGGGAUGGUAUGGGCAAGGGAUGGGAGACGGAGACGGAGACGAAGACGCGAGAUCGUGGAUGCUGGGAAAUGCCCGACGGGAUGAGACCGGGAGCUGCGUUUGAGGCUGCUGCUUCUUCAACUUUGUACUAUUUAUUCGAAAAUAAAUUACGAAGUAGUUGCUGCACACACACAAACACACACACACCUAGUGCACUUUACAUAUGCCGCGGGGUGUGUGUCUGCAUGAGGCUGUGGUGGUGCGUGUGACGUACAUAUGCCCGGAGGCGCGCGUGCUGACGACAACGGCGUGCUGAGACACCGAGAGAUUCCGUCAUUAAUUAA